AAUAGACCUCGUCUCUCACGAGCCUAUUUCCUAUAGUCCAACUGGCCUAAGGUUUGCUAGAUCCACUAAGACUCAACCCUAGACUCUGAUACCAAACUAAUCUGUCACGCCCCGGGACCGGCAGAGGCCCUCCCGGUAGCGUGCCCAGACCCGCCAUAUGUCAACACAUAUAAGGCGUCUAAAACAACAGCGGAAAAUAAAACCAAAGAUAAUCUACAUCUAGAGAUAUCAGAGCACAGAUAGAUCUAUAAUCUAUAACAAGGUAAAGGGAAAAUACUAAACAAUAGAAGUGAAUCAUAAAGAUAUACAAUAUCAGUCCAAAGUAGUACACAAAAGGGUGGUCUCUAAUACACUGGUACAGCUCUCAACCUCUCCAAAAUAAAAUCAUCGAGAGGUAGACCACCUAUCAAGUCGUCACUCGCCGAAGAGCUAGCUCGAAGCAACGCCCUUCCCUCGUUCCCUAGCCUCUCCCGGCGUGGAAGGCUCUGAAAGAAAACAUAAAACAGAGGGCAUAAGAACUAUAAUUUUUAGUUCCCAGUGGGCAAUUACUGACCUCAGCUCAAUACACCACUAGGCCCCAAAAGAGAGGGCAAGUCCACAAGGAAACAAAAAUAAUAAUAAAUAGAUUACAUAUAAGGAAGCAUGAUUAAAUUGCUAAACUACUAUGUCGCAAGUAACAUGAUGUCAAAUGUGUUGUACAUCUACUUUCUCAAAAUGAAGUAUGUCCAAGCAUGACUAAUAUGUCCCAACAAAACGAGUAAGUAGGUAACAUGAACCGCUAUGUCCAUGUAUGAUGAAUAUGCUUUAUCACGGUAGCGAAGUAUACUAUGAUGCAACGAAUGAGACUAUCAUGUAUACUACAAGUCCCAACACUAUGCUCUAAGCAUGUCAAGGUAAUCCAACUACUAAGCCUAUCUAGUAGUGAUUAUCAUCUCUCGAUUAAAUGUCAUUGUUUCCAACAUGUUCUAGGACCCACAUAUUGUAGUCCAGCUUGUGCCACCUAAGUGUCGGUGGUAGCUCCAGCAUUCCCACUCUAGGAAUGAGUCUAUCCCUCCCGACCCCGUAGGUUUCUCGAUACCGCACGAGCGAACAUAAGUCGCGUAGGCCAACUCCGGAAUGCCGGCUUGUAGGG
rnacentral:lncRNA from 1 species